rnacentral:rRNA from 1 species
AACGAACGCUGGCGGCAGGCCUAACACAUGCAAGUCGAGCGCCCCGCAAGGGGAGCGGCGGACGGGUGAGUAACACGUGGGAAUUUUCCUCAAGGUACGGAACAACUCAGGGAAACUUGGGCUAAUACCGUAUGAUGCAGAGAUGCCAAAGAUUUAUCGCCUUGGGAUAAGCCCGCGUCAGAUUAGGUAGUUGGUGGGGUAAUGGCCUACCAAGCCUGUGAUCUGUAGCUGGUCUGAGAGGACGAUCAGCCACAUUGGGACUGAGACACGGCCCAAACUCCUACGGGAGGCAGCAGUGGGGAAUCUUGCGCAAUGGGCGAAAGCCUGACGCAGCCAUGCCGCGUGAAUGAUGAAGGUCUUAGGAUUGUAAAGUUCUUUAGCCUGUGACGAUGAUGACGGUAACAGGAGAAUAAGCCCCGGCUAACUUCGUGCCAGCAGCCGCGGUAAGGUGACGCUCU